rnacentral:sRNA from 1 species
UAUCAGUCAACUCCUCUCUCGCACGCAC